rnacentral:pre_miRNA from 1 species
GGAGUAUAAGAAACGGUUUUUUAACUUUUAACUAAAAAAACUAAGAACCGACUCUUAAAUAUUUUAUUUAAGAACCGGUUCUUAGUUUUUUAGUUAAAAGCUAAGAGACUAUUUUUUAUAUUUU